GUCGUAGCUAACGCGUUAAGUGUUCCGCCUGGGGAGUACGCACGCAAGUGUGAAACUCAAAGGAAUUGACGGGGGCCCGCACAAGCGGUGGAGUAUGUGGUUUAAUUCGAUGCAACGCGAAGAACCUUACCAGGGUUUGACAUCCUGCGAAUCCCUUGGAAACGAGGGAGUGCCUUCGGGAGCGCAGAGACAGGUGGUGCAUGGCUGUCGUCAGCUCGUGUCGUGAGAUGUUGGGUUAAGUCCCGCAACGAGCGCAACCCACGUCUUUAGUUGCCAGCAUUCAGUUGGGCACUCUAGAGAGACCGCCGGUGAUAAACCGGAGGAAGGUGUGGAUGACGUCAAGUCAUCAUGCCCCUUACAUCCUGGGCUACACACGUACUACAAUGGUACGGACAAAGGGUUGCAAGCUCGCGAGAGUUAGCUAAUCCCAUAAACCGUGGUUCAGUUCAGAUCGUAGGUUGCAACUCGCCUACGUGAAGGAGGAAUCGCUAGUAAUCGCAGGUCAGCAUACUGCGGUGAAUACGUUCCCGGGC
rnacentral:rRNA from 1 species